UACGUAGGGUGCAAGCGUUGUCCGGAAUUAUUGGGCGUAAAGAGCUCGUAGGCGGUUUGUCACGUCUGCUGUGAAAACGCGAGGCUCAACCUCGCGCCUGCAGUGGGUACGGGCAGACUAGAGUGCGGUAGGGGAGAUUGGAAUUCCUGGUGUAGCGGUGGAAUGCGCAGAUAUCAGGAGGAACACCGAUGGCGAAGGCAGAUCUCUGGGCCGUUACUGACGCUGAGGAGCGAAAGCGUGGGGGAGCGAAACAGG
rnacentral:rRNA from 1 species